rnacentral:rRNA from 1 species
AGAGUUUGAUCAUGGCUCAGGACGAACGCUGGCGGCGUGCUUAACACAUGCAAGUCGUGGGCACCAGCAAUGGUGACCGGCGAGCGGGUGCGUAACACGUGAGCGACCUACCGAUUCGUGGAGGAUAGCCGGCCCAACGGCCGGGUAAUACCGCAUACGCCAAGCGGGCUACAUGGUCUGCUUGGGAAACCUCCGGGGCGAAUCGAGGGGCUCGCGGCCUAUCAGCUAGUUGGCGGGGUAAUGGCCCACCAAGGCAUCGACGGGUAGCUGGUCUGAGAGGAUGGCCAGCCACAUUGGGACUGAGAAACGGCCCAGACUCCUACGGGAGGCAGCAGUGGGGAAUCUUGCGCAAUGGCCGCAAGGCUGACGCAGCGACGCCGCGUGUGGGAUGAAGCUCUUCGGGGUGUAAACCACUGUUGCCCGGGACGAACGGCGGAAUUUAUUCCGCGUGACGGUACCGGGUGAGGAAGCACCGGCUAACUCCGUGCCAGCAGCCGCGGUAAUACGGAGGGUGCGAGCGUUGUCCGGAAUCACUGGGCGUAAAGGGCGCGUAGGCGGCUCUGCAAGCGGGCGGUGAAAGCCCGGGGCUCAACCCCGGGUCAGCCGAACGGACUGCGGAGCUGGACCACACUAGGGGCUCGUGGAAUUCCGGGUGUAGCGGUGGAAUGCAGAGAUCCGGAAGAACACCGGUGGCGAAGGCGGCGAGCUGGGGUGUGUGUGACGCUGAUGCGCGACAGCGUGGGGAGCAAACAGGAUUAGAUACCCCCGUAGUCC